GUGGGGAAUCUUGCACAAUGGAGGAAACUCUGAUGCAGCGACGCCGCGUGAGCGAUGAAGCCCUUCGGGGUGUAAAGCUCUUUCGGCAGGGACGAUAAUGACGGUACCUGCAGAAGAAGCUGCGGCUAACUACGUGCCAGCAGCCGCGGUAAUACGUAGGCAGCAAGCGUUGUUCGGAAUUACUGGGCGUAAAGAGUGUGUAGGCGGUGUGCUAAGUUCGGUGUGAAAUCUCCCGGCUCAACUGGGAGGGUGCGCCGGAAACUGGCAUGCUGGAGCGUGGGAGAGGAAAGCGGAAUUCCUGGUGUAGCGGUGAAAUGCGUAGAGAUCAGGAGGAACACCAGCGGUGUAGACGGCUUUCUGGACCAUAGCUGACGCUGAGACACGAAAGCGUGGGUAGCAAACAGG
rnacentral:rRNA from 1 species